rnacentral:rRNA from 1 species
GAUGAACGCUGGCGGCGUGCCUAAUACAUGCAAGUCGAACGGACGGACGAGGCGCUUGCUUCUCUGUUGUUAGGGGCGGGCGGGUGUGUAACACGUGUAUACCCUCCCUAUCAGACUGGGAUAACUUCGGGAAACCGGCGCUAAUACCGGAUGAUAUUUUGCACCGCAUUGUUCGAAGGUGAAAGACGGUCUUUCUGGCACUUAUAGAUGGAUCCGCGCUGCAUUAGAUAGUUGGUAAGGUAACGGCUUACCAAGGGUACGAUGCAUAGCCGACCUGAGAGGGUGAUCGGCCACACUGGAAGGUGGACGCGGACCAUACGACUAAGGGACGCAGCAGUAGGCAAUCGGACGCAGUGGUCGAAAGCCUGACGGAGCGACGCCACGUGAGAGACGAAGGUGUUGGGAGCGUAAAAAUCGCUUAUUAGGGGAGAACAGAUGUGGAAGGAAACGUAGACAUCGUGACGGUACCGAAUAAGAAAGCCACGGCUAACUACGUG